CAGUCGCCGCGGUAAUACAGAGGGUGCGAGCGUUAAUCGGAUUUACUGGGCGUAAAGCGUGCGUAGGCGGCUUCUUAAGUCGGAUGUGAAAUCCCUGAGCUUAACUUAGGAAUUGCAUUCGAUACUGGGAAGCUAGAGUAUGGGAGAGGAUGGUAGAAUUCCAGGUGUAGCGGUGAAAUGCGUAGAGAUCUGGAGGAAUACCGAUGGCGAAGGCAGCCAUCUGGCCUAAUACUGACGCUGAGGUAAGAAAGCAUGGGGAGCAAACAGGAUUAGAUACCCCCGUAGUCCCUGUCUCUUAUAC
rnacentral:rRNA from 1 species